rnacentral:tRNA from 1 species
GGGCUCGUAGCUCAGCCUGGUUAGAGCGUUCGACUCUUAAUCGAAAUGUCGCGAGUUCGAAUCUCGUCGGGCCCA